ensembl:lncRNA
GAAAAUUUCAAGUCAACAGCACCUUUAGAAUGGUGACACGUUCAAUACAUAUUUUACCCAUAUAAUAUGCUUAUACUUUUGUAAUUUUUGAACAAUGCAGUGUUUAUGUUUACAUUUUUAUUAAAGGUAAAACUACUCUUUUUUUUCUCUCUCAGAGCUUUGGUCAGUUUUGAGAUAUUGGGCUAUUUUAUUUAUUUAUUUAUUCUUUGUAUAAAGCGUUGUUUCAGACUACUGGGCAAAAACCAUCCAAACAAUUGUAUUUAUAUUUUUUUUUUACGUUUGUUUGUUCGUUCAGUCAGUCAUUCAGUCAUUCAAAUUCAAUUCAAAGUCCUGUGUGAUCAAUUCAAUUCAAAUUUUCCAUUAUGAACUUCAAGACAAAGUCAUUUCAUAAAGAUCGUAUUUUGCCCAAUCUUGGUCCCCAGAAUGUGUGAGCCUUCGAUCCCAGAAUGAGCUUUAAACUGCAGGUAUCACUUCCCUCCAGACUGUACUGUGUAAACUUUCUUUUGAUUUCUCAGUAUUGACUUCCCCGUCUCGCUGUUUUCUU